CCCAUUCACCUUCACUAUUGUGAAACAAUAAUAAAUACAUUUACGAUAUUAGUUGUAAAUACAUUUUAUUAUGUCAUAUGAACCAUACCAAAGAGAGCAAAGAUAAAUCCCAUUUCACCACCAACCUAUGUUGUCAUGACAACAACAAUGAAUCGAGAAGAAGGUUUGAAAGCUUUGGAAACAUCUGUCAAAGACAUUAAAGAAGUCAUUAUGAACAAGAAAGGAACAUUUGUUUUACAACAAGCUGAACAACUACAAUGAAUCAAGAAGAAGGUUUAAAAGCUUUGGAAACAUCUAUCAAAGCCAUUGAAGAAGUCAUUAUGAACAAGAAAGGAACAUUUGUUUUACAACAAGCUAUAAAUCCCAUUUCACCACCUACCUAUGUUGUCAUGACAACAACAAUGAAUCGAGAAGAAGGUUUGAAAGCUUUGAAAACUUCAAUCAAAACCAUGGAAGAAGUCAUUAUGAACAAGAAAGGAACAUUUGUUUUACAACAAGCUCUUGGAAGAGAUUUGGACAGUACAGCAUGUUCAUGAGAGAUCAAAGAAUGACCAUGUGUCUCAAAAGGAAGAUCAUGGACACUGUCAUACUACCAGCAAUGACUUAUGGAGCAGAGACGUGGGCACUUACCAACCAUCAAAGAGAGAAACUGGCAAUCACCAAAGGAGCAUGGAAAGAUCAAUGCUCGGUGUCACGAGGAGAGAUAAGAUCCGGAAUGAAGACCUGAGAGCAAGAACAAAGGUGAAGGAUGUCAUCGAGAAAGUUAAUGAAGCCAAAGGAAAGUGGGCAGGACAUCUAGCCCGAAUGAAAAACCAUGAAUGGGCAAAGAAAACAUCUGAAAGGACCCCGUGGGACAAGAAAAGAGGCAAGGGAAGACCAAAAAUGAGAUGGAGAGAUGACAUCGAGCAGAGAGCGGACAGCAUGUGGAUCCAGAGAGCCCAAGACCGUGAAGAGUGGAGAAAGAUGUGGAAGCCAUCCGCCAGCAGUGGCGUGACAGGCUGAUGAUGAUGAUGAUGAUGAUGAUGUUGUUCUUAUACUUUAGUACAUCACGAUGGUUCGCCAAAGAUUGUCACAGAUAUGGAUGAAGCAGACUUUGCAAAGGAACUAGAAAAACUUGAACUUCCAAAUGCAGAAGUUGAUGGUGAUGAUGAUAAUCCUGAUGAUGAUGAAGAACAAGAUGAAGCAAAAAUGAUUGUGGAUUUUCAUUGGUUGAUAAUUCCUCGAGAUUUUGAUUGGUUAGUUGGGGGAAACUGUUGUACUUCCGACGUUGGCAAAACAAGUUACACUCAACGAAACGUGCAAACGAACUAAGACGACGAACGACUAACACAGAGGUGAUUCUUAAUGUCUCAGAUCUAUCUCAAUUUUCAAAGCGUGCAAACGAAACUUUCAACUUGAUUUGUACAUUUUUACCUUCGUGGCUAACUUGGCUUCAGUAAAAGAGUCGUUACCAAGGCCAAAAAAACAGAGCUUCAGGGUUAAAACUCUCUACUGGUUAUAAAAAUUCUGCCUUAAUCAGAAGUUUGUAAAAGGAAUAAAAACGCGAAAACUGUGAUUUUGUAAUACAAAAAUAAGGAAAGGAGCGAAAACGGUGAAAAAAUCCAGAGCUAACUUUAAUCAAACACGGACGAGAGGAAAAUCGCGAGAGCUUGGAGAAAGUACAUCAAAACGAAAAAAUAAUUCCCGUUCACAAAACGUUCCAGAGAGUGUUGCAGAGGAUCAAGGGAUGGAAUCUGGAGCAGAAAGAAUCAGACUGGAAUAUUUAAUAUUUUUACUCGUACUUUUAUAUUUGAAACUUCUUAUUGAAUUGUAUGAUUUACAUCUUCCUUCAAUUCCUGAAGAACUUUAAAUAUCUAUAAUUUGUACAAGUGUGCCGUGAACAUAAUAAUAAUUGAAAUAUUAACUAAUUAGAACAAAUGUA